GGCACAGUGUUGUGUUCGGUUUGGGCCUGCUGAGCUUGAAGUGGAGUAUUUACAUAUAUCUACACAAUGAGUUGUUGGAAGUCUAAUUGGAGUUGGCGCAAAGGGAAGUUGCUUGAGCUCUGGUAGACAAGAGAGAAGCAUCCAUCAUGUCUGAAGGUUUUUGUUGCCUACAGGCAAUAAGAGAAGAAUCCAGUGGUGCCAUCAGAUUCGUUUGUUCUUGCUCUUCCCUCUUUCUUGAUGCUGGCCUUGCCCACCAAAAGUCACUCCAGGCCAUCACUGGACACUGUUGACAAUGCACAGAGCUGGCAGCCAUGAAGAGCCAACAAACUUCCAUAGACUUCAUGGUCUCACCCAGCAGCAGGAUGUGCUGACUUCCAGAGCUCCUUGCAAGUUGUGACUCGUUCCUGACUUUGCUCUGUGCCUUCAUUUACAUCUUUGUCUGCCCCACUCUUCCCAUAAUUGUGUGCCUCCAGCUGUCCAAACACAACUAGAAGACAGAGUAGAGGGCUACACUAGACGCAGUCCAUACUUCCAACUCUCUGGGGCCACAGAGCAGGGGAGGGGAAUAGAAAGGAGAAGCUCUUGGAGAAUAUCUAACAUGGUUUCAUUACCUUGCUGAGAUUUGUAAAUUUCUCGUUCAUCAUGAGCGUAUUUUCCUUGUCUGCUAACCCUAAAACCUGGGUUGGUCGUCUCAAGCACAGACUGGUGCAGUAUGGACACUCUGUAAUCUCUGAGCAUCUUGAAGAUCCCUUCUUGGAAUUGCCACGAUGUGCAUAAUGAACAAGUCUUACUGGUUGGUGUACUAACAAGAUCUAGAAGGAAU